UUCACAAAGUCUGCUAUUGUUGGAUUUAUUUCUGCUAACAAGCUUCCUUUGGUGACAACAUUUACUAGAGAAAGUGCACCUUCAAUCUUUGAAAGUCAAAUUAAGAAACAGGUGAUGCUAUUUACCACAUCGAAUGAUACAGAAAAGUUUUUCCCAGUCUUCCAAGAUGCUUCGAGAUACUUCAAGGAAAAGGUACUACAACACAAUCUUGCCAUCAUACUACCUGUAUAGAAAAUUUAUUCUUGAUCUAGAAAAGAUGUUCUUAAGAGAUAAAUUGUGUUAAUGUUUUUUCUUCCUUCCUCCUAUUUUCAGGAUAUAAAGACACAUCACAUCAUUAGAAAGCCUGUUCGAUUUAUUUUCUUUUCCUUCUACUGCAUAGGAGUUUGAUAUAAACAUCAUAAAGUAGUGCAGCUUAAAUCUGGAAAAUACUUCUGCAUUUCUUUCCUGCAUUUAAGAUUUUUAGGGAACUCUUAUAGGAGUUGUUUUUUUUUUUUUUUCAGUACAGGGCAUUGGGAUUCAUUUGCUUACUAUUGAGUGUUCUACCCGGGUUAUGUGUAUUUCCAUACCAUUUAAGCAAUGCAGUGUAACUUUUAACAUUCUGUAAGUGAAAAUUAUGUAAUGCUCUUUUUUGCAUGUAAUUAUAGUUAGGGAAAUGAUUUGUUCCCCUCCUGACAUGGCUUAUAACCAUUGGGUGUCAUGAAUUGGUUGACCCCGCUAACUUGUUAUCAAAGACUAAACCUUAGCCAUCCAAUAAAAAAGUGUCAUGUCAGGGGGGACAAUUUUGGAGGUGUGUGUAGCAUUACUCUUUAGUUAGUAUGCAAAUUAGAUUAAAAUUUAAAAAGACAAUGACUAAGACAAGCUUUCCCAUUUGAAAGAUGUUGGUUACAAGGCCUGCUUCUAGAAUGAUGCAAAUCCAACAAAUGGAAAUUGCAUGAGUAAUUGUUUAUUUGUAAUCUGGUUUGAUCAGUUAUGGCCAAAUAAAAUCCAACCAUAAGCCACUUCAAUUUUUAUUUUUUUUUUCUAUAAUGGAACUCAAAUUGCUGGUGCUUAGAUGUCUAUAAGCCCUUGCUUCAGUUCUGAUUUUUUUUAUGAUAUUUUUGUAAGUUGAAAAUUGCUGAAAGCAAAAUAUGCAAAUUCUAUUAACUAACAUCAUUCUUUUGUUUUCCUGACUAAAUUCAGCUUAUACUUGUGUAUAUCAAAAUUGAUGAUGAAGAUGUUGGAAGGCCUGUAGCAAAUUACUUUGGAGUUGAAGGGGAUACUGCAAAGAUAAUUGGAUACUCAGGACUUGAAGAUGCUAAGAAAUAUAUCUUUGAUGGGGAGAUUACAGUCGAGAAGAUUAAGGAAUUUGCUGCUAACUUUUUGGAAGACAAGCUCAACCCUUGCUGCUAACUUUGAGUCUCUUGUCAUUGCUAAAAUGGAUGG